rnacentral:rRNA from 1 species
GUCUGCGGCCACCCCACCCUGAACGCGCCCGAUCUCGUCUGAUCUCAGAAGCUAAGCAGGGUUGGGCCUGGCUCGUACUUGGAUGGGAGAAAACACAGGUUAGAUGAGGAAG